CUUCUGCAAGUCGAACGGUAACAGGUCUUCGGAUGCUGACGAGUGGCGAACGGGUGAGUAAUGCAUCGGAACGUGCCCAGUCGUGGGGGAUAACUGCUCGAAAGAGCAGCUAAUACCGCAUACGACCUGAGGGUGAAAGCGGGGGACCGUAAGGCCUCGCGCGAUUGGAGCGGCCGAUGUCAGAUUAGGUAGUUGGUGAGGUAAAGGCUCACCAAGCCGACGAUCUGUAGCUGGUCUGAGAGGACGACCAGCCACACUGGGACUGAGACACGGCCCAGACUCCUACGGGAGGCAGCAGUGGGGAAUUUUGGACAAUGGACGCAAGUCUGAUCCAGCCAUGCCGCGUGCGGGAAGAAGGCCUUCGGGUUGUAAACCGCUUUUGUCAGGGAAGAAAAGGUUCCUUCUAAUAAAGGGGACUCAUGACGGUACCUGAAGAAUAAGCACCGGCUAACUACGUGCCAGCAGCCGCGGUAAUACGUAGGGUGCAAGCGUUAAUCGGAAUUACUGGGCGUAAAGCGUGCGCAGGCGGUUGUGCAAGACAGGUGUGAAAUCCCCGGGCUUAACCUGGGAACUGCACUUGUGACUGCACGGCUAGAGUACGGUAGAGGGGGAUGGAAUUCCACGUGUAGCAGUGAAAUGCGUAGAUAUGUGGAGGAACACCGAUGGCGAAGGCAAUCCCCUGGACCUGUACUGACGCUCAUGCACGAAAGCGUGGGGAGCAAACAGGAUUAGAUACCCUGGUAGUCCACGCCCUAAACGAUGUCAACUGGUUGUUGGGAGGGUUUCUUCUCAGUAACGUAGCUAACGCGUGAAGUUGACCGCCUGGGGAGUACGGCCGCAAGGUUGAAACU
rnacentral:rRNA from 1 species